CAGUCGCCACGGGAAUACGGAGGGCGCGAGCGUUACCCGGAUUUACUGGGCGUAAAGGGCGUGUAGGCGGCCUGGGGCGUCCCAUGUGAAAGGCCACGGCUCAACCGUGGAGGAGCGUGGGAUACGCUCAGGCUAGAGGGUGGGAGAGGGUGGUGGAAUUCCCGGAGUAGCGGUGAAAUGCGCAGAUACCGGGAGGAACGCCGAUGGCGAAGGCAGCCACCUGGUCCACUUCUGACGCUGAGGCGCGAAAGCGUGGGGAGCAAACCGGAUUAGAUACCCGUGUAGUCCCUGUCUCUUAUAA
rnacentral:rRNA from 1 species